rnacentral:rRNA from 1 species
AUUGAACGCUGGCGGCAGGCUUAACACAUGCAAGUCGAGCGAGCGGCGGACGGGUGCGUAAUGUCUGGGAAACUGCCUGAUGGCGGGGGAUAACUACUGGAAACGGUAGCUAAUACCGCAUACCAUCAGAUGUGCCCAGAUGGGAUUCGCUAGUAGGUGGGGUAAUGGCUCACCUAGGCCACGCUCCCUACCUGGUCUGAGAGGAUGACCACCCACACUGGAACUGAGACACGGUCCAGACUCCUACGGGAGGCAGCAGUGGGGAAUAUUGCAAAAUGGGCGCAAGCCGGAUGCAGCCAGGCCGCGUGUUUGAAGAAGGCCUUCGGGUUGUAAAGCACUUUCAGCGAGGAGGCGUUACUCGCAGAAGAAGCACCGGCUAACUCCGUGCCAGCAGCCGCGGUAAUUC